rnacentral:rRNA from 1 species
UACGUAGGGGGCAAGCGUUGUCCGGAAUCAUUGGGCGUAAAGAGCGUGUAGGCGGCCCGAUAAGUCCGCCGUGAAAGUCCAGGGCUCAACCCUGGAAUGCCGGUGGAAACUGUCGGGCUGGAGUCCGGAAGAGGCGAGUGGAAUUCCUGGUGUAGCGGUGAAAUGCGUAGAUAUCGGAAGGAACAUCAGUGGCGAAAGCGGCUUCCUGGACCAGAACUGACGAUCAGGCACGAAAGCGUGGGGAGCAAACAGGG